UAGAGUUUGAUCCUGGCUCAGGAUAAACGCUGGCGGCGUGCCUAAUGCAUGCAAGUCGCACGGGAGCCCUUCGGGGUCGACCGAGGCGGACGGGUGAGGAACGCGUGGCUAACCUGCCCAACCGAGGGGGAUAACCCCGGGAAACCGGGGCUAAUACCGCAUACGCUCGACUGCGGGGACGUGGUUGAGGAAAGGGAGCAAUCCCGCGGAUGGAGGGGGCUGCGGCCGAUUAGCUAGUUGGUGGGGUAAGAGCCUACCAAGGCGGUGAUCGGUAGCUGGUCUGAGAGGACGAUCAGCCACACGGGGACUGAGACACGGCCCCGACUCCUACGGGAGGCAGCAGCAAGGAAUUUUCCACAAUGGGCGCAAGCCUGAUGGAGCAACGUCGCGUGGGGGAUGACGCGUUUCGGCGUGUAAACCCCUUUUCGGGAGGACGAAGCCAAUGACGGUACUCCCGGAAGAAGGACCGGCUAACUACGUGCCAGCAGCCGCGGUAAGACGUAGGGUCCGAGCGUUGUCCGGAGUUACUGGGCGUAAAGCGCGCGCAGGCGGUUCGAUACGUCGGGUGUGAAAGCCCCCCGCUCAACGGGGGAGGGUCAUUCGAAACGGUCGGACUGGAGGCAGGGAGAGGUCGGUGGAAUUCCCGGUGUAGUGGUGAAAUGCGUAGAGAUCGGGAGGAACACCAGUGGCGAAGGCGGCCGACUGGACCUGGCCUGACGCUGAGGCGCGAAGGCGUGGGGAGCGAACGGGAUUAGAUACCCCGGUAGUCCACGCAGUAAACGAUGUGCACUAGGUGUGGGGGGUAUAGACCCCCUCCGUGCCGGCGCUAACGCAGUAAGUGCACCGCCUGGGGAGUACGGCCGCAAGGCUAAAACUCAAAGGAAUUGACGG
rnacentral:rRNA from 1 species